AGAAUUUUUUAUAGAAGUAUUUAUAAUUAUAGAACAUACUUACUUAUAAUUAUU
rnacentral:tRNA from 1 species